rnacentral:rRNA from 1 species
UACGGGGGGAGCAAGCGUUGUUCGGAUUUACUGGGCGUAAAGGGCGCGUAGGCGGUAGCACAAGUCAGUUGUGAAAUCUCCGGGCUUAACUCGGAAAGGUCAACUGAUACUGUGCGACUAGAGUGCAGAAGGGGCAACUGGAAUUCUCGGUGUAGCGGUGAAAUGCGUAGAUAUCAGGAGGAACACCAAUGGCGAAGGCAGCUCGCUGGAACGGUACUGACGCUGAGGCGCGAAAGCGUGGGGAGCAAACAGG